CCCCUGCAUCAUGAUAAGGCCGAACAUGGUGCAUGAAAGGGGAGG
rfam:Tick-borne encephalitis virus isolate Sipoo-4-Finland-2013, complete genome